UACAGAGGUCCCAAGCGUUGUUCGGAUUCACUGGGCGUAAAGGGUGCGUAGGCGGCCGGGUAAGUCUGAUGUGAAAUCUCACAGCUUAACUGUGAAACUGCAUUGGAUACUAUCCGGCUCGAGGAAUGGAGGGGAGACUGGAAUACUUGGUGUAGCAGUGAAAUGCGUAGAUAUCAAGUGGAACACCAGUGGCGAAGGCGGCUCACUGGCCCGAUACUGACGCUGAGGCACGAAAGCGUGGGGAGCAAACAGG
rnacentral:rRNA from 1 species